UACGUAGGGUGCGAGCGUUGUCCGGAAUUAUUGGGCGUAAAGGGCUCGUAGGCGGUCUGUCACGUCGGGAGUGAAAACUCGGGGCUCAACCCCGAGCCUGCUUCCGAUACGGGCAGACUAGAGGUAUGCAGGGGAGAAUGGAAUUCCUGGUGUAGCGGUGAAAUGCGCAGAUAUCAGGAGGAACACCGGUGGCGAAGGCAGGUCUCUGGGCUGACACUGACGCUCAUGCACGAAAGCGUGGGGAGCAAACAGG
rnacentral:rRNA from 1 species